GAAGGAUGAGAAGCUUCGACUAAGGUUCGACUCGAGCGCCAGCGAGAGAGCGUUGCCGCAGGCAACGACCCGAAGGGCGAAGCGCGCAGCGCUGAGUAAUCCUUCCCCCACCACCA
rnacentral:sRNA from 1 species